UACGUAGGGUGCGAGCGUUGUCCGGAAUUACUGGGCGUAAAGAGCUCGUAGGUGGUUUGUCGCGUUGUUCGUGAAAACUCACAGCUCAACUGUGGGCGUGCGGGCGAUACGGGCAGACUGGAGUACUGCAGGGGAGACUGGAAUUCCUGGUGUAGCGGUGGAAUGCGCAGAUAUCGUAAGGAAGACCAGUGGCGAAGGCGGGUCUCUGGACAGUUCCUGACACUGAGACACGAAGGCCAGGGGAGCAAACGGG
rnacentral:rRNA from 1 species